CGCGCUUGCACUAGAAUAGGUGCUGAGCUGCUGAUCGCCGUUAUUCUUCCCUGGUCUCCUAAGGCUAAGGUCAACCGUUUAAGACAAAAAUGGAGUCAGCGUGGCCUUUGGAAUGACAUCUGGGCUGGAAUACCACUUUCUUCUAGUUGUAGAACUUCAAGUUAGAGAGCAAUCCCAUCUCUCCCAGCACUGUCCUGAGCCAGGUGGACUGGCAAACUCCUAGUCUCAGACACUGCCUUCACUUCGGAAAGCUCUUCGCUGCAGUUUUUCAGGUUUUCCUGCUCUGAACACUGAAUUCUCUUACAUCAAGUAUCUAUGUUGGCUCUAUUUCAGCUCCUGGGAUUUACACACAGUUUCCAAAUCGUUUUUCUGUAAUAGUUCCCCGGUAAAAUAAAUAACUCGAGAAAGAA